GGAUGCGAUCAUACCAGCACUAGAGCACCGGA
rnacentral:rRNA from 1 species